GUGGGGAAUCUUGCGCAAUGGGCGAAAGCCUGACGCAGCCAUGCCGCGUGAAUGAUGAAGGUCUUAGGAUUGUAAAAUUCUUUCACCGGGGACGAUAAUGACGGUACCCGGAGAAGAAGCCCCGGCUAACUUCGUGCCAGCAGCCGCGGUAAUACGAAGGGGGCUAGCGUUGCUCGGAAUUACUGGGCGUAAAGGGCGCGUAGGCGGACAGUUUAGUCAGAGGUGAAAGCCCAGGGCUCAACCUUGGAAUUGCCUUUGAUACUGGCUGUCUUGAGUACGGGGGAGGUGAGUGGAACUCCGAGUGUAGAGGUGAAAUUCGUAGAUAUUCGGAAGAACACCAGUGGCGAAGGCGACUCACUGGCCCGUUACUGACGCUGAGGCGCGAAAGCGUGGGGAGCAAACAGGAUUAGAAACCCCAGUAGUCC
rnacentral:rRNA from 1 species